rnacentral:rRNA from 1 species
CGAGGGGUAGAGGAAGCUUGCUUCCUUGAGACCGGCGCACGGGUGCGUAACGCGUAUGCAAUCUACCUUUUACAGAGGGAUAGCCCAGAGAAAUUUGGAUUAAUACCUCAUAGUAUAUAUUAUUCGCAUGUUUGAUAUAUUAAAGUUCCAACGGUAAAAGAUGAGCAUGCGUCCCAUUAGUUAGUUGGUAAGGUAACGGCUUACCAAGACGAUGAUGGGUAGGGGUCCUGAGAGGGAGAUCCCCCACACUGGUACUGAGACACGGACCAGACUCCUACGGGAGGCAGCAGUGAGGAAUAUUGGUCAAUGGACGCAAGUCUGAACCAGCCAUGCCGCGUGCAGGAAGACGGUCCUAUGGAUUGUAAACUGCUUUUGUACGGGAAGAAACCCUCCGACGAGUCGGAGCUUGACGGUACCGUAAGAAUAAGCAUCGGCUAACUCCGUGCCAGCAGCCGCGGUAAUACGGAGGAUGCGAGCGUUAUCCGGAAUCAUUGGGUUUAAAGGGUCCGUAGGCGGUUUAAUAAGUCAGUGGUGAAAUCUGGUCGCUCAACGAUCAAACUGCCAUUGAUACUGUUAGACUUGAAUUACUGUGAAGUAACUAGAAUAUGUAGUGUAGCGGUGAAAUGCUUAGAUAUUACAUGGAAUACCAAUUGCGAAGGCAGGUUACUAACAGUUGAUUGACGCUGAUGGACGAAAGCGUGGGGAGCGAACAGGAUUAGAUACCCUGGUAGUCCACGCCGUAAACGAUGGAUACUAGUUGUUUGGAUUUAUCUGAGUGACUAAGCGAAAGUGAUAAGUAUCCCACCUGGGGAGUACGAACGCAAGUUUGAAACUCGAAGGAAUUGACGGGGGCCCGCACAAGCGGUGGAGCAUGUGGUUUAAUUCGAUGAUACGCGAGGAACCUUACCAA